rnacentral:lncRNA from 1 species
UAAUUCUCACAAUCAUGAAACAAGUAAGAUGGUCUCAACAACCUAAAAAAGGAGCAACCCACUACAAAAAAAGAUAACACCACUUAUUUCGGUACAUUUCAACAGUGUAUUAUUUCUUUGUAAUUAUUGGUUUUGGAACUUCAAUUCUUCAAAGAUAUUUAUUGCCCAUAUGAGGCAUAAUACCAUUAGACACAUCUCCUUUCCUGUGAACUUGAUUUUGUCUCUUUUUAAGUACUCGAUUUGUAUUGUAUAGAUAUAUUUGUAGAACGUGGUUGUACAAUUCUAUGAUAUUUUCCAUUUUGGGAGUUCAAAAUUCCCUCUUUCUUAACAUCCAUGUAUGAUGAGUUAUUUAUAAAUUUUGUUUGUAUCCAUUUGUUAAUUCCUAGUAUCAAUGAAAAUGAUGUGUAGGAAUCUUCAAAGUAAUUUUUAAUCAUUGAAACUUCACAACUUUUGACGUGUAGACAUUUUUUCAUAACCCAAACUUUUAAAAUCGACUUGUAAACCGGAGAUUACUACCAUUUAUAAACUUUUGUUGAAACCAUACUACACCAAAUGUGGCCUCUUAAUACAAAUUCAAUAACAAUUUAGUGAUUAUAAUAAAAUUAUAUAUCCUUAAAAAAAUGAAAUAAAAUUAAAAUAGGUGUGGUGUUCUUCAUAAUCAGGACCAGCUUUACACGGUUGAUUGCGGUUCAGCUGAAGGUGUGACUCAUCUUUUUUUAAGCUUCGUUUUUUUUUGGCUCUAUUUGGGGAAUGAUUUUGCAUUGGUUAGGCUUUGUUUCAGUUCAACUGGCCUGCAUUAUCGAUCACUUAAAUCAGUUUCGUCAUCUUAGGGAAUCAUCUAAGAUUUUACGGUUAUCAUUGCAUUUGAUUUGACUUUCUUAUGUUUUGGUCAUAUAGAAUAAAAGAAAAGAAGAAUCUUCAAAUACGAGGAGCUUUCUUUAAAUCAUCUUAAAAAAGUUAAGCUGCUAUCAUUUGCAUGGUUAAAGACAAAAUACCCUACUUUUAUUUUUGACUACCAUUUUUGGCUGCAAGAUCCUAUUUUAUGUUUGGGUGUUAUCCUUAACUUUUGUUUUUUCUAUAUCUUUUUUUUUCCCUCAAACGGUGAACUUUGUAUCUAUUUUACUUUUUUUAAUUCAUUCUGCCACACUUACUUGGGUACAUACAAUUAAUUCAAGAAUUAUUCUUGUUUGGUCAGUAAAUCAAAUUUAGAGUGCAUAAACACACACAUAUUAAGAUACUUCUUUUAAUAAAGGGUUUUGUUAAGUGAUGUCUAUAAAAAUUAUGUCUUAGAAAUAUAAGUUUUUAUUUUUAAUCAAACAAUUGACUUUACAUUUGGAAAAGUGCAUUGUGUGUACACUAUGAAUUUGGUCUUGUGAAAUACAAUAGGACCUUAGACAUCCUAACUGAAUAGUAGCUGAAAAAUUAAUUAACUUUAUGUGACAUAAUGGUGGAGUGGGGAGACCCCUUAAAUCUUAAUUAAAGGCAAAAGGAAAGAUAGAAUAAAGAAAUCCAUGGCAGUUUGGCACAUAUUCUAACCUUGAUGUGUCCGUCUGCUAGCACAUUAAAGGAGCAUCGUUGUCAAAUAUUAGACCUCAUCAGAAGAAGGAAGAAACUCUCCAAUAAUCUAUUCUCACAGAUCACAAGACAUAGAGAGUGGUCAGAUAUACUAUCACAGCAGAAGAGUUAUUAGGAGAUCAGAGAAAGAUAUCAUUCAAGUUAAUUUCAUGGACAGAGUUUCUACCAUCUUUAUCGUAUAUUGUCCUUGAUCUAGACAGAUAAAGGCUUCUUGGUCC